rnacentral:ncRNA from 1 species
GGGGCUCCCACACAGUUCUGACGUGCAAAUCGUAUUGGUCAGAAUUGAGUAUAGGGGCGAAAGACCAAUCGAACCAUCUAGUAGCUGGUUCCUUCCGAAGUUUCCCUCAGGAUAGCUGGUGCAUUUUAAUAUUAUAUAAAAUAAUCUUAUCUGGUAAAGCGAAUGAUUAGAGGCCUUAGGGUCGAAACGAUCUUAACCUAUUCUCAAACUUUAAAUGGGUAAGAACCUUAACUUUCUUGAUAUGAAGUUCAAGGUUAUGAUAUAAUGUGCCCAGUGGGCCACUUUUGGUAAGCAGAACUGGCGCUGUGGGAUGAACCAAACGUAAUGUUACGGUGCCCAAAUUAACAACUCAUGCAGAUACCAUGAAAGGCGUUGGUUGCUUAAAACAGCAGGACGGUGAUCAUGGAAGUCGAAAUCCGCUAAGGAGUGUGUAACAACUCACCUGCCGAAGCAACUAGCCCUUAAAAUGGAUGGCGCUUAAGUUGUAUACCUAUACAUUACCGCUAAAGUAGAUGAUUUAUAUUACUUGUGAUAUAAAUUUUGAAACUUUAGUGAGUAGGAAGGUACAAUGGUAUGCGUAGAAGUGUUUGGCGUAAGCCUGCAUGGAGCUGCCAUUGGUACAGAUCUUGGUGGUAGUAGCAAAUAAUCGAAUGAGACCUUGGAGGACUGAAGUGGAGAAGGGUUUCGUGUGAACAGUGGUUGAUCACGAGUUAGUCGGUCCUAAGUUCAAGGCGAAAGCCGAAAAUUUUCAAGUAAAACAAAAAUGCCUAACUAUAUAAACAAAGCGAAUAUAAUACACUUGAAUAAUUUUGAACGAAAGGGAAUACGGUUCCAAUUCCGUAACCUGUUGAGUAUCCGUUUGUUAUUAAAUAUGGGCCUCGUGCUCAUCCUGGCAACAGGAACGACCAUAAAGAAGCCGUCGAGAGAUAUCGGAAGAUUUUCUUUCUGUUUAUAGCCGUACUACAUGGAAGUCUUUCGCAGAGAGAUAUGGUAGAUGGGCUAGAAGAGCAUGACAUAUACUGUGUGUCAUAUUUCUCCUCGACUUGAAAUUUGGGGGGACACGCAACUUCACAGGCGUACAUAUCCCGCUGUCUCCAGUGAAGAUCUCUAGUC